AUUGAACGCUGGCGGCAGGCCUAACACAUGCAAGUCGAACGAGUGGCGGCCGGGUGAGUAAUGUCUGGGAACCUGCCUGAUGGAGGGGGAUAACUACUGGAAACGUUAGCUAAUCCCGCAUACAAUGCUAUGUGCCCAUAUGGGAUUAGCUAGUAGGUGGGGGAAAGGAUCACCUAGGCGACGAUCCCUAGCUGGGCUGAGAGGGUGACCAGCCACACGGGAACUGAGACACGGUCCAUACUCCUACGGGAGGCAGCAGUGGGGAAUAUUGCACAAUGGGCGAAAGCCUGAUGCAGCCAUGCCGCGUGUAUGAAGAAGGCCUUCGGGUUGUAAAGGACUUUAAGCGGGGAGGCGUUACCCGCAGAAGAAGCACCGGCUAACUCCGUGCCAGCAGCCGCGGUAAUAC
rnacentral:rRNA from 1 species